rnacentral:rRNA from 1 species
UACGUAGGGGGCUAGCGUUGUCCGGAUUUAUUGGGCGUAAAGAGCGUGUAGGCGGCUGUGUAGGUCCGGUGUGAAAACUCGAGGCUUAACCUCGAGAUGUCAUCGGAAACCAUUUGGCUAGAGUCCGGAAGAGGAGAGUGGAAUUCCUGGUGUAGCGGUGAAAUGCGCAGAUAUCAGGAAGAACACCAAUGGCGAAAGCAGCUCUCUGGGACGGUACUGACGCUGAGACGCGAAAGCGUGGGGAGCGAACAGG